AUACGGAGGAUCCAAGCGUUAUCCGGAUUUAUUGGGUUUAAAGGGUGCGUAGGCGGACUGGUAAGUCAGCUGUGAAAGUUUGCGGCUUAACCGUAAAAUUGCAGUUGAUACUGUCAGUCUUGAGUGUGCAUGAGGCGGGCGGAAUUUGUGGUGUAGCGGUGAAAUGCUUAGAUAUCACGAGGAACUCCAAUUGCGAAGGCAGCUCACUGGGGCAUAACUGACGCUGAUGCACGAAGGUGUGGGUAUCAAACAGGAUUAGAUACCCUGGUAGUCCACACAGUAAACUAUGAAUACUCGCUGUUUGCGAUAUACAGUAAGCGGCCAAGCGAAAGCAUUAAGUAUUCCACCUGGGGAGUACGCCGGCAACGGUGAAACUCAAAUGAAUUGACGGGG
rnacentral:rRNA from 1 species